rnacentral:lncRNA from 1 species
AUAAUUAGUGUUUCUCCGUUAAAUAAGUUGCUUUAGUUGUUCUUUCUAGAAGAGAUAGUUGCACUCUCUAAGAGAGUUUCAAUCCCGUUAACCUAACCUCCAUAUCAUCACCCACCGCCGUCGCCGUCAUCAUCGUUCUCUACCCUUCAACGCCACCAUCGUCACACCUUCCCACCAUCGCCUUCGUCAAUUACCAUCCAUCGCCUCUUUCAACGACAUCAUCAUCAUCAUCUCCCACCAACAAUCAUCAACCAUCGAUAUGCCUGACUCCAUAAAUAACAAUCACCCAUCGCCGUCAUCAUUUUCAAAACACCACCCAUCACUGCCCCAUCACCAAACCUCACCACUGUCAUCAUCUUCAAUCAUGCGGCCUCCAUGCCUAAAACCGAACACCCCUCCACCUCUUCAAUUCGCUGGCGCUAGUGAUGGAAGGGUUUUUGAGGCCCCAACAAUCAAAUGAUCUUGAAAUAUCUCAUGGUCGAAUUCUACGAGUCACUUGACCUUCACUACUCAAUCUCGAUUCACUGGUUAGUCAAUCACAAUUUGCAAAAGGGUUUUAUCCUAAUAUGUAGAAUGAAACAGAAUCACAAACUAAGAGAAACAACAAAUAUAAAAUGCAAAUAGAUCACUUGAAGGCUACGGAUAAAAUUAAGAUGAGAACGACUAUGGGGAAACUGCAUUGCUUGGUUUUUGGAUCAUUCUAAGGACUAUAAAAAACUCUACAGCAGCCGAAUAGACAGGAACUAGGCUUGGCAUCCGGGUCUGGCGGGUCCAGAUUAUGGAUUCCGUUCCCCGCCCGAUUCUCCAUCCGGGUUUCAAAAUACCCGAGCCCGGAGCCCAAACGGGGCUUAAAUGAAACCAGGCCCUGAUCCGCCGGAUCUCCGGGUAUACGAGUAAAGCCCGUGCAGUAUAAAAAAACCCAAAACUGCAUAAAUUGCUUGAACAUUGAAUAUAAACUAUGUGAUUAAAUUUCAAUGUUAACUAUGAAAACUUAGCAAUCCAUUAUCCUUCAAAUCAACAUAACCAAAACAAGGAAAUUAACAUAAACUUAGCAAUGACUUUCAUAAACAACAACAAUAAUUCAAUAAUGAGCUCAUCAACAACAGCAAUCCAGCAGCAGCAGUGCAACAAUAAUAGUGGCAGUCCAGCAAUAGUGCCAGUCCAGCAACAGCAGUUUCAGUUAAUUAAACCAUGAAAUAUUUACCUUCUUGAUUGACGAAUGCAGUAACAAACACAAAUGGCCCGAAAGACCAAAAACGAGGAACCUGCAUGUACGAUUCACAAACUGUGAAUGUUUUUUAUUUCAACGAUAUUGAUUGACGGAGAUUAUAAAAUCGGCAAAUUUAAAGGCUUCCUUCAACACUAACCUAAUGAUAGAUGAAAAGAUGGAGAUGAGAACUUGAAUCCACCUUAAGAUGUGUCUCCCCUUUUAUAGUCAAUCACUGAUAUGAAGAAGUUGUGAAUUGAAAGCUGGAAAUCGGAAUUGAAGCCAAAUUCAUGGAGCAAGCCUUUGAGAUUGGAAUCGUUGAUUGAAGGGAAUUAAUUAAGCCAUGGAAGAGUGGAAUUGACGGGGUUUAGAUGGGGAAGAAUGAAAUCACCGUUGAAGAGCUUUUAUGAGAUAGGUAUGAGAAUGGUAACG